AUACUUACCUGGUGUUGAGAUUACCGUGAUCAACAAGGCGGUUCCUCCAGAGAGAGGCCUUUAUCAUUGCACUACGGUUUAGGGCUGACUUCUGUGAAUAUCCCUAACGUGGAUAUGUCGAACACAUAAUUUUUGGUAGUCGGGACUGCGUUCGCGCUGUCCCGC